GAUGAACGCUGGCGGCGUGCCUAAUACAUGCAAGUCGAGCGAACGGACGAGAAGCUUGCUUUUCUGAUGUUAGCGGCGGACGGGUGAGUAACACGUGGAUAACCUACCUAUAAGACUGGGAUAACUUCGGGAAACCGGAGCUAAUACCGGAUAAUAUUUUGAACCGCAUGGUUCAUAAGUGAAAGACGGUCUUGCUGUCACUUAUAGAUGGAUCCGCGCUGCAUUAGCUAGUUGGUAAGGUAACGGCUUACCAAGGCAACGAUGCAUAGCCGACCUGAGAGGGUGAUCGGCCACACUGGAACUGAGACACGGUCCAGACUCCUACGGGAGGCAGCAGUAGGGAAUCUUCCGCAAUGGGCGAAAGCCUGACGGAGCAACACCGCGUGAGUGAUGAAGGUCUUCGGAUCGUAAAACUCUGUUAUUAGGGAAGAACAUAUGUGUAAGUAACUGUGCACAUCUUGACGGUACCUAAUCAGAAAGCCACGGCUAACUACGUG
rnacentral:rRNA from 1 species